UAACUGAAGAGUUUGAUCAUGGCUCAGAUUGAACGCUGGCGGCAGGCUUAACACAUGCAAGUCGAGCGGGGGAAGGUAGCUUGCUACCGGAC
rnacentral:rRNA from 1 species